rnacentral:rRNA from 1 species
GAUGAACGCUGGCGGCGUGCCUAAUACAUGCAAGUCGAGCGCACGGACGAGAAGCUUGCUUCUCUGAUGUUAGCGGCGGACGGGUGAGUAACACGUGGAUAACCUACCUAUAAGCCUGGGAUAACUUCGGGAAACCGGUGCUAAUACCGGAUGAUAUCUUGAACCACAUGGUUCAAGAGUGAAAGACGCUCUUGCUGUACCUUAUAGAUGGAUCCGCGCUGCAUUAGCUAGUUGGUAAGGUAACGGCGUACCAAGGCAACGAUGCAUAGCCGACCGGAGAGGGGGAUCGGCCACACGGGAACGGAGACACGGUCCAGACUCCUACGGGAGGCAGCAGAAGGGAAUCUUCCGAAAUGGGCGAAAGCCGGACGGAGCAACGCCGCGUGAGGGAUGAAGGUCUUCGGAUCUUAAAACUCUGUUAUUAGGGAAGAACAUAUGUGUAAGUAACUGUGCACAUCGUGACGGUACCUAAUCAGAAAGCCACGGCUAACUACGUG